GUGGGGAAUUUUGGACAAUGGGCGAAAGCCUGAUCCAGCCAUGCCGCGUGUGUGAAGAAGGUCUUCGGAUUGUAAAGCACUUUAAGUUGGGAGGAAGGGCAGUAAGUUAAUACCUUGCUGUUUUGACGUUACCGACAGAAUAAGCACCGGCUAACUUCGUGCCAGCAGCCGCGGUAAUACGAAGGGUGCAAGCGUUAAUCGGAAUUACUGGGCGUAAAGCGCGCGUAGGUGGUUUUGUAAGUUGGAGGUGAAAUCCCCGGGCUCAACCUGGGAACUGCAUCCAAAACUGCAUGACUAGAGUACGGUAGAGGGUAGUGGAAUUUCCUGUGUAGCGGUGAAAUGCGUAGAUAUAGGAAGGAACACCAGUGGCGAAGGCGACUACCUGGACUGAUACUGACACUGAGGUGCGAAAGCGUGGGGAGCAAACAGGAUUAGAAACCCGUGUAGUCC
rnacentral:rRNA from 1 species